UACGAAGGGGGCUAGCGUUGUUCGGAAUCACUGGGCGUAAAGCGCACGCAGGCGGAUCGUUAAGUCAGGGGUGAAAUCCCGAGGCUCAACCUCGGAACUGCCUUUGAUACUGGCGAUCUUUGAGUCCGGGAGAGGUGAGUGGAACUCCGAGUGUAGAGGUGAAAUUCGUAGAUAUUCGGAAGAACACCAGUGGCGAAGGCGGCCCCCCUGGGCCGGCCCCUGACACUGAGACGCGAAG
rnacentral:rRNA from 1 species